rnacentral:rRNA from 1 species
UACGUAGGUCCCAAGCGUUAUCCGGAAUUAUUGGGCGUAAAGCGAGCGUAGGCGGUUUUUUAAGUCUGAUGUGAAAGCCCACGGCUUAACCGUGGAGGGUCAUUGGAAACUGUAAAACUUGAGUGCAGAAGGGGAAAGUGGAAUUCCAUGUGUAGCGGUGAAAUGCGUAGAUAUAUGGAGGAACACCAGUGGCGAAAGCGGCUUUCUGGUCUGUAACUGACGCUGAGGUUCGAAAGCGUGGGGAUCAAACAGG